AGGUCUGUAGUGAAAUGGUAUCAUCGGGGUCUCCAAAACCCUUGUUCCGAGUUCGAAUCUCGGCAGACCUG
rnacentral:tRNA from 1 species